AUUAACUCACACCCACCAACGCCCGGGUACUACGAGCCCCAGCUUAAAACCCAAAGGACUUGACGGUGUCCCACCCAUCUAGAGGAGCCUGUUCUAUAAUCGAUAAUCCCCGCUAAACCCAACCUCCCCUUGCCAAUCAGCCUGUAUACCUCCGUCGUAAGCUUACCAUAUGAAUGCUCUUAGUAAGCCCAACGAUCACAAAACACCAAUACGUCAGGUCAAGGUGCAGCUCAUGAGGAGGUAAGCAAUGGGCUACAAUUUCUAACCUAGAACAAACGAAACACUGUAUGAAACUCAGUCACGAAGGCGGAUUUAGUAGUAAAAGGAAAGUAGCGUGUUCUUUUUAACUAGGCCCUGGGACGUGUACACACCGCCCGUCGCCCUCUUCAAUAGUUACAUAAUAGAUAUAUAACAACUCUCUACGCCUUAGAAGAGGUAAGUCGUAACAUGGUAAGUGUACCGGAAGGUGUGCUUGGAUUAA
rnacentral:rRNA from 1 species